AUUGAACGCUGGCGGCAUGCCUUACACAUGCAAGUCGAACGGUAACAGGUUAAGCUGACGAGUGGCGAACGGGUGAGUCAUGUAUCGGAACGUGCCCAGUCGUGGGGGAUAACUGCUCGAAAGAGCAGCUAAUACCGCAUACGACCUGAGGGUGAAAGCGGGGGCUCGCAAGUCCUCGCGCGAUUGGAGCGGCCGAUUUCAGAUUAGGUAGUUGGUGAGGUAAAGGCUUACCAAGCCGACGAUCUGUAGCUGGUCUGAGAGGACGACCAGCCACACUGGGACUGAGACACGGCCCAGACUCCUACGGGAGGCAGGAGUGGGGAAUUUUGGACAAUGGGCGAAAGCCUGAUCCAGCAAUGCCGCGUGAGGGAAGAAGGCCUUCGGGUUGUAAAACGCUUUUGUCAGGGAAGAAAAGGUUCUGGCUAAUACCUGGGACUCAUGACGGUACCUGAAGAAUAAGCACCGGCUAACUACGUG
rnacentral:rRNA from 1 species